AAUAAAUUUCGAAAAAAAAUGUGAAUAAAUUUUUUAUGUUUUGUGAAAUAUAAUGUUUUUGUUUUUCGUUUCAAAAUCUAAACAUGAACUCGAACGAAAUAUUCUAGCCUUAUAAUACCCUAAAAAAGUACAAAAAUUGGGGGGUAUCCUGUAAGGAAAGCAGAAAAAGAAAAACCCAGAAACAAAGCCAAAAAGCAAAAUGACAAAAAAGAAGACGCAUUUGAUUUAUUUGAUUUGAAUUCCAUAACACAUUUUUCACAAUUCCAUAGUUCAAUAUGUUUAAUUAAACGCAACAGUUGCGCAGCUACAGUCCGAAGUCCAAACCUUCCAACACUUUCCAACACACUUUUCCAACACACUCUGAAGCAAAGGAAUCAUCAACACGAACACAUGAACGGAACAACGAACAAAGAACAACGAGCAACGGAACAUUGAGCCAAAGAACAACGAAGAACGAACCACAUUUCCACGAAUCCCAAAUACCUCGAUCACAACUACUUCGAACCACGAACCAGUUCCACGUUCCAUUCCCAUGCAUUCCCGUUGCAGCGGAUGUUCCAAUGAACCAGUUAAAAAGACGUUACUCGGCCAUUGCGAUUUCAAGCCUACGGUACCGCGACCGCAAAACCAUAAUCCACUUCCUUAACCAACCCCAACCCCACCCCACCCCCUCCACCGCCAACCGUCCAGUUGAACCAGUUGAACCAGUUCAUGAAGCAACCCGAGGUCGGCGCGAAGGAUUUGCGUACUUGAAAGCGACACUGGCCCAUCCGGUUUGCUGCACUUGUCAAUCGUUUGAAAUAUAUGCUUCACUUUAGACAUACAUACGUAUAUGUGUA